GACGGAGUGGGCUAGCGUUGUUCGGAAUGACUGGGCGUAAAGCGCACGUAGGCGGCUUUGCAAGUUAGAGGUGAAAGCCCGGGGCUCAACUCCGGAAUUGCCUUUAAAACUGCAUCGCUAGAAUUGUGGAGAGGUAAGUGGAAUUCCGAGUGUAGAGGUGAAAUUCGUAGAUAUUCGGAAGAACACCAGUGGCGAAGGCGACUCACUGGACAUGUAUUGACGCUGAGGUGCGAAAGCGUGGGGAGCAAACAGG
rnacentral:rRNA from 1 species